CUGCAAGUCGAGGGGCAGUCCUGAUAGCAAUAUCGGGAGCGACCGGCGCACGGGUGAGUAACGCGUAUGCAACCUGCCCCGUACCGGGGGAUAACCCGGAGAAAUUCGGACUAAUACCCCAUAAUGAUAUUUUAAGGCAUCUUUUAAUAUUUAAAGUUCCGACGGUACGGGAAGGGCAUGCGUAACAUUAGCUAGUUGGCAGGGUAACGGCCUACCAAGGCUACGAUGUUUAGGGGACCUGAGAGGGUGAUCCCCCACACUGGUACUGAGACACGGACCAGACUCCUACGGGAGGCAGCAGUGAGGAAUAUUGGUCAAUGGGCGCAAGCCUGAACCAGCCAUCCCGCGUGCAGGAAGACGGCCCUAUGGGUUGUAAACUGCUUUUCCAGGGGAAGAAAAUUUCGUAUCGUGUACGGAACUGACA
rnacentral:rRNA from 1 species